rnacentral:rRNA from 1 species
AACGAACGCUGGCGGCAUGCCUAACACAUGCAAGUCGAACGAGACCUUCGGGUCUAGUGGCGCACGGGUGCGUAACGCGUGGGAACCUGCCCUUAGGUUCGGAAUAACUCCCCGAAAGGGGUGCUAAUACCGGAUAAUGUCUUCGGACCAAAGAUUUAUCGCCUUUGGAUGGGCCCGCGUUGGAUUAGCUAGUUGGUAGGGUAAAAGCAUACCAAGGCGACGAUCCAUAGCUGGUCUGAGAGGAUGAUCAGCCACACUGGGACUGAGACACGGCCCAGAAUACUACGGGAGGCAGCAGUGGGGAAUAUAGGAAAAGGGGCGAAAGAAUGAAACAGCAAUGACGCGUGAGUGAUGAAGGCAUUAGGGUAGUAAAGCUCUUUUACAAGGGAUGAUAAUGACAGUACCGGGAGAAUAAGCUCCGGCUAACUACGUG